UACAGAGGGUGCAAGCGUUAAUCGGACUUACUGGGCGUAAAGGGCGCGUAGGUGGCCAUUUAAGUGAGAUGUGAAAUCCCCGGGCCUAACCUGGGAACUGCAUUUCAAACUGGAUGGCUAGAGUAUAGGAGAGGAAAGUGGAAUUUCCGGUGUAGCGGUGAAAUGCGUAGAUAUCGGAAAGAACAUCAGUGGCGAAGGCGACUUUCUGGCCUAAUACUGACACUGAGGCGCGAAAGCGUGGGGAGCAAACAGG
rnacentral:rRNA from 1 species